rnacentral:rRNA from 1 species
GACGAACGCUGGCGGCAUGCCUAAUACAUGCAAGUCGAACGAGAGGAAGGAAAGCUUGCUUUUCUGAAUCUAGUGGCGAACGGGUGAGUAACACGUAGGUAACCUGCCCAUGUGCCCGGGAUAACUUCUGGAAACGGAUGCUAAAACCGGAUAGGUAGCAGACAAGCAUUUGACUGCUAUUAAAGUGGCUAAGGCCAUGAACAUGGAUGGACCUGCGGUGCAUUAGCUAGUUGGUGAGGUAACGGCCCACCAAGGCGACGAUGCAUAGCCGGCCUGAGAGGGCGGACGGCCACAUUGGGACUGAGACACGGCCCAAACUCCUACGGGAGGCAGCAGUAGGGAAUUUUCGUCAAUGGGGGGAACCCUGAACGAGCAAUGCCGCGUGAGUGAGGAAGGUCUUCGGAUCGUAAAGCUCUGUUGUAAGAGAAAAACGACAUUCAUAGGGAAUGAUGAGUGAGUGAUGGUAUCUUACCAGAAAGUCACGGCUAACUACGUGCCAGCAGCCGCCGUAAAAC